rnacentral:rRNA from 1 species
AUACGGAGGAUGCAAGCGUUAUCCGGAUUUAUUGGGUUUAAAGGGUGCGUAGGCGGUUUGCUAAGCGGGAGGUGAAAUGCCGGCGCUCAACGUCGGAAGUGCCUCCCGAACUGGUGGACUUGAAUGACUCUGCCGUGGGAGGAAUGUGUAGUGUAGCGGUGAAAUGCUUAGAGAUUACACAGAACACCGAUUGCGAAGGCAUCUCACGAAGGGUUGAUUGACGCUGAGGCACAAAAGCGUGGGGAUCAAACAGGAUUAGAUACCCUGGUAGUCCACGCAGUAAACGAUGAUGGCUAACCGCUGGGCUUAUCAGUUCAGUGGCCAAGCGAAAGCGAUAAGCCAUCCACCUGGGGAGUACGACCGCAAGGUUGAAACUCAAAUGAAUUGGCGGGG